CACGUAGGGUGCAAGCGUUGUCCGGAAUUUAUUGGGCGAAAGAGCUCGUAGGCGGUUUGUCGCGUUCUGCUGUGAAACCUCAGGCUCACCUGGGCUUGCAGUGGGUACGGGCAGACUAGAGUGCGGUAGGGUGACUGGAAUCCUGGGUGUAGCGGUGGAAUGCGUAGAUAUCGGGAGGAACGCCUGUGGCGGAAGCGGCUCACUGGACCACACUGA
rnacentral:rRNA from 1 species